rnacentral:lncRNA from 10 species
CGGGCGCACCUAAGCUGUCCCCGCAGAGACCUGCAGGGAGCUCGCGGCGGAGGACCCAGAGGGAGGCCUGCGGUGGCUCCAGCCCAGACUCCGGCCCCGACCGCAGCAGAAGUGCACGAGGUCUACGGUCAUCAGGGUCACAACCAACUGUGGGCUCCCAAAGAGCCAGGCUUAUGUUCUUCUUGCACCCCCAACAGAGCACACUGAGCUGGGGGCUGCGAUGCUGAAGGCAGCUGUCCACAUCACUUGCUCUCUGCGCGGGCCGGUCAGCUCCAGAGGAAUUCAUCUGGGGCAGGCCCAACUCGGCCCGCUGAAUUAGCCUCCACGAUCCCCGGGCCUCCCCGGCGCCAGGGGGCGCUGUAAACGU